rnacentral:lncRNA from 10 species
AAGAAUAUAAACAUUUUUAAGGUGUUUGAUCUUUAUUUCUGAAUUGCUUUACAGAAGGUAGUUCAAACUAUACAGUCUUAUGAACAAUGUUAUUUCAGCAUUCUAAACUUCACUUUAUAGAAAAAAGCUGGCAUAGGUGGCCUGCAAGGUGGCCCCAAUGAUCUGAAGCGAUGGCAUGUGACUUUUGAGGCAAGGGCUGACACAAUUGCAGCUUCUACCUUGUUCUUUCGGACACAUUCUGUGGGAAGCCAGGUGCCAGGUUUGGCAGAUACUCAAACAGCCUGUGGAGAUGCCCAUAUAUGGAAGAAACAAGACUGACAAUGAGAACCAACCUGUUGUGUCACACCUUUUCCUGAACUUUGGCUCAAUUGAAGAAGGAAACUUUCAGGGGAAUUCCAAUAGUAAACAACAGAACCAGCAGUUUUACAAUAAACUGCAGAGCUCCAUUUCAAAACACAAAAAUAGAGCGUCUCUGCAGUGAUGUACUGCCUUAAGGAAGGGUGAUAUGCCUGCUUCCACUUCGCCUUCAGCCAUGAUUGCAAGUUUCCUGACACUUCCCUAGAAGCUGGGCAGAUGCUAGCAGAUGCUUCCUGUACAGCCUACAAAACUGUGAGCCAAUUUAACUCCUGUUCUUUACAAAUUACUUAGUCUCAGGUGUUUAUAGCAAUGCAAGAAUGGACUAAUGCGGACAGUAAUAUCUAAUACUAUGUAAAUAGUUGUUGUAACUGUAUUGUUUAAGGAAGAAUGACAAGAAACCAAUCUAUACAUGUUCAGUACAGAUGUAAUUUUUUAAAAAUAUUUUUGAUCCACCAUUGGUUGAAUCUGUGGAUGCAGAACUCACAGAUAUGGAGGCCCUACUCCUUA